AUUGAACGCUGGCGGCAGGCCUAACACAUGCAAGUCGAACGCGUGGCGGACGGGUGAGUAGUUUCUGGGAAACUGCCCGAUGGAGGGGGAUAACUAGUGUAAACGGUAGCUAAUACCGCAUACCAUCGGAUGUGCCCAGAUGGGAGUAGCUAGUAGGUGGGCUAACGGCUCACCAAGGCGACGAUCCCUAUCUGGUCUGCGAGGAUGACCAGCAACACUGGAACUGAGACACGGUCCAGACUCCUACGGGAGGCAGCAGUGGGGAAUCUUGCACAAUGGACGCAAGCCUGACGCAGCCAGGCCGCGUGUAUGAAGAAGGUCUUCGGGUUGUAAAGUACUUUCAGCGAGGAGGCGUUACUCGAAGAGGAAGCACCGGCUAACUCCGUGCCAGCAGCCGCGGUAAUUC
rnacentral:rRNA from 1 species